rnacentral:rRNA from 1 species
UGGUGGAGUGAUUUGUCUGGUUAAUUCCGUUAACGAACGAGACCUCAGCCUGCUAAUUACUCGUAGUUAAUGCUUGCAUUGACUCAAGUUCUUAGAGGGACUAUCGGUUUCCAGCCGUUGGAAGUAUGAGGCAAUAACA